rnacentral:tRNA from 1 species
GACCUUAUAGUCAUGAAUGAUAUUAGACUGCAAUUCUAAAGGAGUAAAUAUUUUACUAAGGUUU